rnacentral:rRNA from 1 species
UAGAGUUUGAUCCUGGCUCAGAUUGAACGCUGGCGGCAUGCUUUACACAUGCAAGUCGAACGGUAACAGGGAGCUUGCUCCGCUGACGAGUGGCGAACGGGUGAGUAAUGCAUCGGAACGUGCCUAUUUGUGGGGGAUAACGUAGCGAAAGUUACGCUAAUACCGCAUACGCCCUGAGGGGGAAAGCGGGGGAUUCGUAAGAACCUCGCGCAAUUAGAGCGGCCGAUGUCGGAUUAGCUAGUUGGUGGGGUAAAGGCUCACCAAGGCGACGAUCCGUAGCGGGUCUGAGAGGAUGAUCCGCCACACUGGGACUGAGACACGGCCCAGACUCCUACGGGAGGCAGCAGUGGGGAAUUUUGGACAAUGGGCGAAAGCCUGAUCCAGCCAUGCCGCGUGAGUGAAGAAGGCCUU